AUGUCCCGGGGCCGUGCCAGUCGCAGCUCGCAGGGGACGGGGCUGACGUAUGGGUCAAACACCUCGUGUCUCCAGGGAUUUUGGGGGGGAUUGUCACAUUUCUGUGUGUUUCUCCAGGCACGGGAAGGCGGAUGUGUGUGGUAUGGGGCUGGUGCCCACUGCAGGCGAUGGCAUGGAUCCACCCGGGCCUUUGGUGCCAGGUUGCCUAAAGGUUUCAGUAUCAGAGCAGGACACCAAGGAAGGCCAAGGAGAUCAUCUGUGCACAGUGGGAGCGUCUGCAUCCCGUGGCUUGACGUCCUGGCUGCGGGGAAGGGGGAGCGCGGCCGGCGGAGGCUCCGGUGGCAGCGGCGGCUCCGGGAGCGCGGCGGCGGGAGCGGGGUAAGGCCCGCGGGCACGGGGCACCGGCUGUGCGUGCCCCGGAGGGCAAGGCAUGCGAGCAGGAAGGUGUAUGUCACCCGCAUUAAAGGAGUUUAAUGCGCUCAGAGUCACAUUUCCGCACCCUUGCAGAAUACAUUAUCUGCGCGCUGCCUUUACAGGCUGUCACCUCUCAGGGAGGCUGCAGAGUUCCUGGAAACCAUUAUCAGCCUCUAAUGAUAUUAUCAAAAUUGGAGCACUCGUGGCAGGGUGGGGGCCGAGGGUUCAUCCCUGCUCUGUGAGGGCCCGUGGGAGCAGCAGGACAGGACUGCGGCUCCGUGGAUCCUCCUCUGGAGUCCCGUGGGUGAUGUGCCGAGGGGUGCAGAGGCCGCGGGGACCCAGCGUGGCCCAGGGAGCCCCUGUGAGGGCUGGGCUUGGCACCUGGGCAGGCGCCCCUGCCCGUGCCCCGUAAGCUCUGUGCAGGAGCCCAGCCCCAGGGCACAGUGCCCACCACACCCUGCUCCAGGGUGCCCUUCCCUCGGCGCUGCUGACCCCGAGCGCUGCUCUGCCCUCUCCCUGGCUGCUGGCACCACAGAAAAACAGAGUCGUCUUUUUUGGAGUGUAAUCUCCUGCCUGCGACAAGGAGCCACGCAAACUGAUAAACUGCAGAUUAAACGAGUGCCACACUCCACUCCAGCCCUGGCUGUUAAUUCCCCUGUUGUGCAAUUCCCGGCUCUCAGGGCCUGUCAAUUCCAGCUAAUCGCAGGAGGCACUAAAACACUCUGCCCUGACAGCCCCGGAUCGAGGCACCCCUGACUCCCGGCUCAGGUGGAUUGCACGCAUCACUUAUGCACAAAUCAGCAAUAUGCCAGCAGGGAGGAAUUAUGUCCGAUGACAGCCCAGACAUGAGG
rnacentral:lncRNA from 1 species